rnacentral:lncRNA from 1 species
CCAUGCAAUCAUCUCUCUCUUCCCCUCUCUCCUGCUAUUUCGGCCGAGACCAUCACACACACACCCACACUCUUCCAAAUUCUCUCAAACACUCACAAGAACACUCUACAUUUCCUCUCUAAUUUUUGAGAAUUUGCACAUCUUCAAGAAGAGUUUCAUCAUCAAAAAUCAUCAAUUCUUGGUAAGUCCUACCACACUUAAGUUGUAUAGAGUCAUUACGUUGCCGAACUUGCACCAUUUAUGUAUGCUCGUUUGAGCAAAUUUUUCAUGUAUCAAAGUACGGAUAUUAUUAGUGAAAAAUAUAUGUGUUCUAUUGUGAUGUUCUUAUCUGUUAUGUGUUGUGUAUCCAUAAUUGUAUGUUAACAUGUGAAACACCUUAGGUACAUGGACUACACUUAGUUUAUAGGACCACAAACUCACAGAAAUCCUAGACACUCAACAUCUUUCUGUUCCAUGACAUAAAGAUGCCUCAACGACCAACCUGUGGAAACCCUGGGCCAACCCCACCCGAGGUCAACUCAGCUGGAUUCCAAGCAGCUGUAACUGCUACGGUCACCGCAGCCAUGACACAAAUCCACCAAGGGAACAAUGGGGGAGGAAAUGGACAAGGAGCUGGAAGUUCGAACAAUGGAAUAAAUCAAGGCCCUACCAAGACAUGCUCUUACAAAGAUUUCACCAAUGCCAAGCCACGAGCCUUUAAUGGCACAGGGGGAAUGACAACCCUAAAAAGAUGGAUUGAGAAGGUGGAAUCAGUGUUCGAGAUAUGUGAAUUCCCUAAGGAGAUGAGGGUGAAGUUUGCCGCAUGCACAUUCGUUGAUCAAGCUCUCACCUAGUGGAACGGACAUAUAGAAGCCAUGACUCUCCCCGUAGCCAACUCUAUGCCGUGGGCGGAGUUGAAAGAAAUGCUGGUGGCCGAGUACUGCCCGCAAGGCGAAAUUCAGAAGAUGGAGCAAGAGUUGUGGAACCUUACCGUCUGAAACUCUGACAUUGAUGCAUACAUAUCUAGGUUUAGCGAACUGUCACUGUUGUGUACUGGCAUGAUUACUUCAGAGGGAAGGAAAAUCAAACGAUUCAUUUGGGGAUUAACCUCCCCAAUCCAAGGAAAUGUGAUAGCUGCAAAUCUUGAAACCUUCGACAAUGCCAAGAGAUUAGCCAAGAAGCUGUAAGACCACAACAACAAAAGGGGCGAGAAGUCGGGGGAAACCGAAAACAAGAAGGAGAGUGACAGCAAGAAGGGAAAGAAUAACAAGAGGAAAGGACGACAAGGCUCAGAGUCGUCGAAGAAACAACAGACAGUGACAGUCAAUGAAGCAACCACCCAAGUCCCAUCUACACCACAUGCUCCAUUGUCAACUACUCCAGGUGCUCCUAGGUAGUAUUCCGUAAAUCUCCUAAAGUGCAACAAGUGCAGUCUCCAUCAUAAUGGCGAAUGCAGGGAGAUGCAUUGUACCAGUUGCAAUCAAAAAUGUCACACGACAAAAUAUUGCAGGACCUAUCCUCCCCAGAACCAGCAGCAAGGAAACAAUAACAACAACAACAAAAACAACAACAACAACAACCGCAACAACAACAGCGACAACAAUGUAGGCUGGUCAUUUCCAUCGAAACUGCCCUAACAGCAACAACCCUUGGAAUGGAGGAACAUGGAGAGUGCUGACCAUGGGUAAGGGAGAAGCAGUUCAGGAUCCCACUGUUGUCACCGGUACGUUUCUCCUAAACAACACUUAUGCAUGCAUCCUAUUUGAUACCGGAGCAGAACGAAGCUUCGUGAGCAAUAGAUUUAAACACUUGUUAGAACAACAACCCCAGAAGCUUAAUGAANAGAACAACAACCCCGGAAGCUUAAUGAAACCUUUAUGGUGGAAAUGGCUAAUGGGAAAACAGAAUCCACUUGGAAAAUCUACAUCGGAUGUACCCUAACGUUGAACCAACAUGUCUUUCAAAGAAACUUAAUGUCUGUUUCCAUUAGGAGUUUUGAUGUGAUUAUCGACAUGGACUAAUUAAGCCCUCACCAUGCUGAAAUUUUGUGUCACGAGAAGGCCAUUCGCCUUCACCUUCCGAAUCGCAAAACCCUAAUUAUAUAUGGAGACAAACCCAGCAUGAACCUU